UGAACCUUAGGAGGGGCGGGGGUGAAGGUGGGGGAAAAUCAGAGAAGGUAAUCUAGGUUCAUGUCUGAGUCUGAAUGUGUUUCUCACACUCCCCGGACUGUGGCGAAAUGGCGUGCGCUGUGUGUGUGUGUGUGUGUGUGUGUGUGUGUGUGUGUGUGUGUGUGUGUGUGUGUGUGUGUGUGUGUGUGUGUGUGUAAGCACACAGGAAUACCUCUUCUAAUGAUUUUAUUAUAUACUUUUUUAUAGCAUCAAUUAGAGAUAUAUGUUACUUCUUUUUCCUAGUCCCAAACAUUGAAUGUGUCAUCCUCUCCUACACUUUCUGCAGGACUUUUCAUAUGCCAUAAGCCAUGAGUUAUUUACAAAAUAUUAUUAUUCUUUGUAAAUGAAAACAUUGUUCUGUUUGUUAUCUUUGAGGUAUAAUGCGCUGAGUACUGUUAGUGAAGUUCUGUAUGACAGAAUCUGUUUUAUAAAAGAUGGAAUUAAUAGUGCUUUGUAGCAAUCCCCAUAAUCCGCUGUGCUAUGCAUUUAUUACAGUUAUUAAAAUACCAAGUGGAUAAAUGAAAUGCACUUUGGGCUAUGAAAAUGCCAUAAUUUGUAAAAGGUAGUUUAAUGGAUAGCUUAGUGACAACACAUCACUGAAAGCAAUCUUCAUGUUUCCUGGGACAUGUGACAAUGAAAGAUAUAAUUUGUGUAUUUGAGCAUUUGAAUGUCUGCUGGUUAAUACAGUCUUCCAAAUAGGAGGGUUAUAUGAAUAUUGUCAAUUGUGCCUUGGAACCACAGAUAAGAAAUUGGUCUUUUUUGAGGUAUGGAAUGAACUAUCAGAUCUAGAAGGCUUGAGCACUAUGAAUUAGACAUUUUGGUAGACACAUAAAAAAUAAAUUAGCAUUUUUAUUUAAAAAGUGGAUGAGAUUUAAAUCUAUAAAACAGAUUUGGGUACCAGUGGAGAAAUUCAUAUAAUUAAAAAAUGAAAUAAAUAUUGAAGGGACGUUGACAUUCAGAUAAUUGAUUGGACUAGCAAUUGAUGGAGUUAAUCCAUGGGCUGGCUUGAUAUCCCACUCACUAGUAAUUCAUAUCCUUUUAAGCAAAAGAAAUAAAAGAACAAUGUUAGCUCACGAGUGCUACAGUGUUAUACUCUCCAAAACCUUGCAAGACCAGAAGAAAGCUAUUAGUUUUUUGUUGUUUGUCUUAUGUCCCAACACUUCUUAUAAUUUGCUCAUUCAUUUUCUAAUUUUAAAUAGUCCCUUGUGUUUUAGAUGAAUACAAUCGUAUCAAUUGUUAGAAGAAAUUAUUUUUAUCUUUCCAUAAUUUUAUGCUAAUUAUUUUAUUAUUACAAUAGCUAUAAUCUCAAAAAUUACUGUUGAAUAAAAGUGGAGGUUGUGGGCAACAUUGACUUGUCCUGCUUUUAAUGGAAAUGACUUUGACUUUUCAUGGUUAGAAUGAGGGUUGCUGCUGAUUGUUGGGUAAAGGUUCUUUCAAUAUUUAAGUUAUUCCAUUCUGUUUCUAUUAGUAUAUAUUAGGAUAAGCUACAGAUUUUUUUUAUCUAAUGGCUUUUCAAUAUCUAUUGACAAGAUCAUAUAUUUUUUUCUACAUUAACUUUUUAAUGUAAUGAAUUAUAUUGAUAGAAUUUCUGGUGUUUUACUAUUUUGCCUUUGUGAAUCAAUCCCUAUCAAGUCAUAGUAUAAUUUUUUUCUUGCCAUAUUUCUAGGUUCUAUUUGUUUGUAUGUUUUAUACUUUCAAAAAUAUUUUAUUUUGUCUUUUUAUAUUUGCUAUUUAUAUUUGUUUAUUUUUUUGUGUGUAUCAUUUUUUUUACUGGUUUUGGUCUUAGGUUUGCUAGCUCCAUACAAUUCAUUAGUGAAUGUUCAAAUUUUCCCUGUCUUUUCCUGCUGAGUUUAAAUAAUAUUAGUAUUAUCUCUCUUUAAAGGUUAGAUAGAACUAAAAUUUGAAAUUUUGUGCUCCUGGUUCCUUCUUUAAUGGUAGUCUAUAACCACAUUUCCAAUCUUACUUGUAAUGAUUGGUUGAGUCAAUUUUUCUAUUUCUUGGGUUAAUUUGAUAAUUUCUGCUUUGUUAGGAAAUCAUACAUUAUCUUUAGAUUUUCAAAUUUGAUAUCAUAGAUUUGUCUGAAAAAAUUAUAAUUAUUUUAAUCACAUCUAUUUAUAUGGUUCUACCCUUUAUUACUGAUGAUUUAUAUCCUUUUUCUUUCCUUGGUUUUACUAGUCAUAUGUAUAAAGAUUCUAUCAAUUUUAUUAUCUUUUCAAAGAAUGAGCUGUUUUAUUUAUCACUUCUGCAAUUGUUUUAUAGUCAUUAUUUUAAAUUAAAAUAUCACUAAUUUCUUCUACUCUCUCUGGGUUUGUUCUCUUGUACUUUUAUAACUCUUCAAGAAGAUUGUUUAUUCCCUUUGUUUAUGGUCUAAUUGAAAAAUAAUGAUCAUUAAGAUUAUAUAUUUUUCAUUGAGUACAGCUUUAGCCAUGUCUUAUAAAUCUUGACAUAAAGUAUUAUCCUUUUCCUUUGUUUUCCACAUAGCUUGAACUUUUAUUUUUAAUUUCCUCUUUGACCAAGGGCUAUUGAGAACCAUACUAUAUCAUCAGGCAGUUACCUUUUAUGAUCAUCUUUGAUAACUAUUUCUAAUUUUAUUUUGUUAAGAUAAAAGUAUAUGCCUAUACUUUCACUCCUUUUUAGAAUAUAUUAAUGUACUUUUAUGUUGUGAAUGUCAUGAUUAAUUUUUUAAAGUUUCAUAAACAAUAAAAAAUUCAAUUAUCUCCUUAAAUAAAGCAAAUUUCUAUCUUUUGAGUUAAAAUUUUUAAUUAUUUAUACCCUCUCUGUUUUUGAUUACUUUUUCAUCUACUGGAUUGGUCAAAUUCUGAUUGAUGUAUAUUAAAAUUCUUCUUAUAAAUUUAAAUGGAUUUUGCUUUAUGUGUUUAGUUGUAAUGCUGUUUGGUACAUGCAAGAUUAGAACUAUUAUAAGUUCUUCUUAAGUUGUGCCAUUUGUCAUUCAUACAUACAAUGUUUUGUUGUUGUUGUUGUUGUUGUUUGUGAGAGUGCCUGCCAUGUUGCCCAGGCUGGCCUUAAACUCCUGGGUUUAAGUGAUCCUUUUGCCUCAGUCUUUGGAGUAGCUGGGACUACAGUCAUGAGCCAUCCAGCCUGAUUCAUACCAUGAUUUAAAUUGUGUUUUUAGAGCCCUUUCCUUCUACUUAGAUUUAGAUUCCAUUUCGUUUUAUAUGACUAUUUCCAAUCCUGUUUUCUUUUUAUUUCCAUAUGCCUGAUGUCUUAUCCAGUGCCUUGUUUUAACCUUUCUUUGUUGUUGUAUUGUGGGAGUGUUUCUUGUAAAUCACACAUAAUUGAAUUUAAUUUUUAACUUAGUAUCAUGAUCUGUGCCUUUACAUUUAGUUAAUACUGUUAACUUUAUUUUUUUUCAUUUUAUUUUGAUUUUUAUUAUUUUGUACUAUUGGUUAUAUUAGCCUCUUUUUACUUUCUCUUAUUUUAGCUUAUUCAAAUUUCUGUUCUUACACAUUUGUCAUACUGUUUAUUUGGCAAGCCUACUGUGCUUUUCUGCACAUUUCAGUCCGUAAGUGCUGACACUCAAAAUCAAGCAGUAUUUCUCUACUAUUGAAUCCAAGUGAGAUGAUCGUGCUUCCCACAGAGGCACCCUGUUUUCUCACUGUCCCCUGAAUCCAAAAACAGGAAAACUUUAGAAAUGUUUACACAAACUCUAAGUAGCAUUUAGUAUAUAGCAGUUCAAUUUUUGGUCUUCGAAUUAGUUAUUGAGUUAAAAGUUAUUUAUUUAAAAACUGUAUGCUCCUGGGGAAAUUAUUAAUCACUGUGUAUCUCUAUUUCUUCAUGUGUAACAUGAGAGUGUUAAAUAAGAUAUAUAGUGCUUAGAGGAGUACCUGGCAAGUAGUAAGUGCUAAAUAAAUGCUACAUGAUAGUUUAGAUUGGAUUAUAGUCUCUCUGAAUCUUUGCAUUUCAAAUAUAUUUUAAUCUACUUUGAUUUGUGAAGACUGACUUGGCUGGGCACACUUUAUGGAUGUUAGUAUUUUUAUCAUAGCCUUGUGUAGACGUUAUUUCAAUGGUUUCUUGCCUCUAGAAUGGCAAAUAAAAAUUUUAUUUUUCCUUUAUAGGUAUGUUUUUGUACUAAUCCCUAUCAUUGGACUUAUUAAUUUUAUGAGUGUACUUUGACCUUUUUUCAUAAUCCUGUCUGGUACUUGGCAUAUGCUUUCACUCUGUAGCCAUAAGACUUUAUUUAGAUUAGGGGGAAUUUCUUUAUUAUUUCUUUACUUCUCUUUAAUCUGUUGCUUUUUCUCAUUCUAGGAAUUCAUUUAUUUGUUGGGUCAUUUGGAGCAGUCCUCCAACUUUAAAAAAUCUUUUUCUUCAUAAUUUUCAUUUAUUCUUUAGAUUUUCACAUGAUCUUCCUUGCUACUUAUUCAAUUCUCAACAAUGGAAUUCCUUCUUUCAUUUAAUUGGAUAGUGAUUUAAAAUGUGAAAGUCAUGUUUUGUGAAAUAAUUGUUUUGCUUGAAUUGUUUCUUUUUAGUGUUAUUAUUACUUUUUUGCUGAAGAUAAUAACUGACUCUUCCAAAAGUUCUAUUUCAGUUGGAGAUAAUAUAAAUAAUACACAUUUUGAAAUGCACAGACACCAGAUAUGAAUAGUCACAUAUAAAAGUAAGAGAAAUUUGGAGAAAGGACAACUCAAAGUCUUCUGAAAAACAGGCAGAACUGAGAUUUGAUUGAAAGCAUUUUCAUGUGUCUGUGUUUAUUCUUCAUUGUAUCCACAUUAUGCUUCAUAUAGUAUUUUCCUAGACAUACCUAGAGAGGCCUAUGCAAGUGGUAGGUUUAAGAUUUUCAGAAAGUAUAUUGAGACUGUUACCCAUAAUUUAUCUGUUUGCUUAAUCUGUUUUCCCCACCCUUUCCUAAUCUCUAUUUCACAUUAGCACAUUAUCUUAGUUAUAGCUUAAAAGAACUAAGCUCAGAAUUUAUUGUCUAGGACAAACCAGUGUACAAGCAAAUAAAGUUGGUAGAGACAGUAGCCUGACCAACAGCUGAUACUCUUUCCAUUUCCCAAUGGUCCCAUACUGUUUAUGUUCCUAGAGGAAACCUCUGAAUAGUAAGAACGAAGAGAAUAUGCAGUGAUUUACUAAGGGAUGGAUUGACAGACACACAAAACUAUUAAACAUUGUCAUGUACUUUUUGACUGAAAUCCUGAAAAGAGAAUGUCAUUUUCUCCUUUUCUUGAAGAUGCUUUCUUUUCUAUUAGUGCAUUUUAAUUAUACAGAAUCAUGGAUUUCACUGUGGCAUAUUUAUGCAUGUAUGCAGAAUACUUUGAUCAUAUUCACAUACCCAUACCCCUCCCUUCCCCUGCUCUCCUGUCUUCCCCUGAUCCUCUUCCUUUUCUCUAAUAGUGUCCCUUCUAGAAGAUGGUUUCUUAUUGACUCCUUUAAAAAAAAAUAUAUAUAUAUAUAUAUAUAUUUUUUUUUAAGUUGUUGAUGGACAUUUAUUUUAUUUUCAUUCAUUUAUAUGUGGUGCUGAGAAUCAAACCCAGUGCCUCACACAUGCUAGGCAAGUACUCUUACCACUGAGCCACAAACCCAGUCCUCUUAUUGAUUCUUAAAAUAAAGAUUUAAUAUUGCACUAGAUAUUGCAAAUAUAUACACAUUUACAUGUGUGCCUAGAUGAUAGAAUAUUAUGUUUAGAGAAAAGCUUCUGUUUUUGUUUUUCCCUUGCAAAAUAUUUCUUAAUUUUCCAUUUCCCCCAUUCCUUACAUCAGGAAUGGUUUAUGGAGAGAUGUUAGAUUUCCUAUGACCUAAAUAAAUGAAAAUGUUGUGCCAGGUAUACACAAAUAUUUAUCUGGUUACAGUUUUAUUUUUCUUUAUCUUGCUCAAAACUCACUGUAUUCAAUAUAAAGAUUCUUUCCUUCCUUUAGUUGAAAAUUCUGAGAGUCCCAUCAAAUGUUUCCUCAUCCUCAUUGUCUGUAGGCUUUCUUUAUGUAAUUCCUUCACAUGUAUUUUAAAACUAAAUUUCUGCCAUGUCUUUCAACUUCUCAUUCAUAUUUGCACCAUUUUAUCUUUGUGCACUUCAUUCUGGAUGAUUUCUUACUAUAUUUAAAUGACCUAAUUUUCUCCUUGUUUGUGUUUGCCUCUGCUAAGGCCAGAUGUUUCACUAGUUCCAAAUUAAUUUUUAUGCUAGUGUCUUUUUGGUUCUUUAACACAUAGGAUUGGUGACUUCAAUUCCAUGCCAAAGGAGGGUUCUAAUUGCUCCCACAGAACUCUUUAUCUACCUUUGACUUCUCAUAAAAGACAAGCUUUCUUGCCAUUUAUUUUUGGCAAAGGAAAAACUAUCUUGUUAUCAUUUCCAUGCUGAUUACACCUCUGUGGGAUCUGGAUUUAGACAGCUUCUUCAGUAUUAACUGCUCAUUUUCCAUAGGCUAGAAAUAUUGCCUCCUCUCUCCAUGUGGAAUAAGCCUUGGCCCCAAGUCCUUAAAGACAAUAUAAACCUGUAUGUCUUUAUCUCCAGCUCAUCGUUGUUUAGCUCCUUUUUUGUUUCUGGGUGAUUUCCAUUUCAUGAUUAUGAAUUUGGUUAUACAGCUGUUUCUAGAGAAGGUACAUAUUCUAUCAUUUCUGUGAGUUUCAAGUGGUAAGAGGGAAACUUUCCAAGUCAGUUUCCUGUGCUACUGAUUGAAAAUUGCUCAGAUAUGAUUAUUGAAUUGGAUUGUGUAGGUGACAUGUCAUGCCUCUUAGAUACCUGAAAAGGGGCCAAGGGUAUAGCUUAGUGGUAGAGCACAUGCUUAGCAUGCACAAGACCUGUGUUCAAUCCCCAACAUCACACACACACACACACACAUACUCACACAUAAAAAUACCUGAGAUAUUACAGUUUUACAUUGCUUCCAGAUGGAAUGUGUGAUUACAACACAGUUAUAUUGUCCCUUUGCCUAUUUAAUGGUACUUUUCUUUAUUUCAACUCAAAAUUUGCCUCCUUAUGGAAGUUCUCCCUGUCCUCUCUCUUCAUCCCUCAGAGUGUGUCUUGAUCUUCUAAUAUGUACUCUUACAUACCUGUGUUCCAUUACUCUUUGUACUCAUGUGGAAUUAUAGUUAUUUAUACACUUAUGUGAUUGUAUGAUUAAUGUACAUAUCUUGCUAUUGGUGAACUUCAUGAAUUCAAACACCUAGUCUGUUUUUCCUACCACUGUAUGCCUUCCAUUGGUGCUCAAUAAAGACUUAUUAAAUGAAUUAAUGCA